rnacentral:rRNA from 1 species
AGUUUCCUACGGGAGGCAGCAGUGGGGGAUAUUGCACAAUGGGGGGAACCCUGAUGCAGCGACGCCGCGUGGAUGAAGGAGCGUUUCGGCGCGUAAAGCCCUAUCGGCAGGGGAGAAGAUGACGGUACCUGACCAAGAAGCCCCGGCUAACUACGUGCCAGCAGCCGCGGUAAUACGUAGGGGCAAGCGUUAUCCGGAUUUACUGGGUGUAAAGGGGGCGCAGACGGUAAUGCAAGCCAGGAGUGAAAG